ensembl:snRNA U6 U6 spliceosomal RNA
GUCCUCUGCUCACUUUGGCAAUACAUGUGAUAACGUUGGAACAGGACAGAGAAGAUUAGCAUGGCCCCUGUGUAAGGAUGACAGGCAAACUUGUGAAACAUUCCAUAAUAAU